rnacentral:pre_miRNA from 1 species
AAAAAGACAAACCCUAGGUUUCCGUGUCCAACUUUGACUGUCUGUCUUAUAUGAAAUUUUUUUAUAAUUCGUAUUUUCAUUGUUGUUAGAUGAUAAAACAUGAUUAAUAUUUUAUGCGUGACUUGUCUUUUUAAUUUUUUUGUAAUUUUUUUAAAUAAGACGAAUGGUCAAACGUUGGACACGGAAACUAGUGUUUGUCUUUUUU